CCUACGGGAGGCAGCAGUGAGGAAUAUUGGUCAAUGGACGAGAGUCUGAACCAGCCAAGUAGCGUGAAGGAUGACUGCCCUAUGGGUUGUAAACUUCUUUUAUAUGGGAAUAAAAUGUUCCACGUGUGGGAUUUUGUAUGUACCAUAUGAAAAAGGAUCGGCUAACUCCGUGCCAGCAGCCGCGGUAAUACGGAGGAUCCGAGCGUUAUCCGGAUUUAUUGGGUUUAAAGGGAGCGUAGGUGGAUUGUUAAGUCAGUUGUGAAAGUUUGCGGCUCAACCGUAAAAUUGCAGUGGAAACUGGCAGUCUUGAGUACAGUAGAGGUGGGCGGAAUUCGUGGUGUAGCGGUGAAAUGCUUAGAUAUCACGAAGAACUCCGAUUGCGAAGGCAGUUCACUGGACUGCAACUGACACUGAGGCUCGAAAGUGUGGGUAUCAAACAGGAUUAGAUACCCCUGUAGUC
rnacentral:rRNA from 1 species